UUAGCAACGUCUUUGACGUUAUUCAUCCAUUGCCAGAUCGGGGGAUCCAUUUCUUGUCUUGCUUCUGCACCUCUCACCGAAGAUUGUAGGUAACCCAACUCAUCUUUGAGCCACCUUACACCAUCUUCCACUCCUAUCCUUGUGUUGACUCUUUGGGUAAGAAAAACAUUAAGCUUUUCAAUUGCAAAGGAAACAGCUGCAUCAGCCAUUUUUCUCUAUCAACUAGAAACAGCCAAACAGGCAGAAAGUAUUUGAAUGUUCUUGCAAACAGAAAAAACCAAAUGUAGGACAAUACCAAUAUGCAUCAACUAAUCAAAUUUGGUGUUGCAACUUUGCGAAGAAUCUGAGCAUUAUAUACAACUCAAUUAGAUUCAAAUAUAAUCUAAAAAAAUUGUAUUCCUUAACUUCAUUUCAGAUCUUAAAAUAAAAAUGUUGAGUUGUUUUAGACUUUAGUUGCAGUUCUGGCCAACUGGGGGGCCAAGUUCUUGGUAAUGUGUCACUUGAUGAGGCUCACAAGUCACAAUCCACUUGAAAGGACACCACUUUUCAGACACUAAACCCACUUUUCACUGUUAUUGCUAACGUCUUUAAUCAUUGAAGUCUGGUAUGUAGGAGGAUCAGAGUUUCAUCUAUAACAGAGGGAAAGAAAUAUUAUGAUUACUAAUUUACUAUUGUGCAUUUGAACUAAAAUGACUGGCAAAUUAGUAUAUUUUAAGGUAGUUAAAUGAGUUGUAGAGCUCAACUUAACAUGAUGAACUCUAUUGAUUGGAUGAGGUCUGAAUUCGAGAUUAGUUGUUUAACUGUUAACUCUGCAGAAGCUGACAUGAUAUUAUGAUGUCAGACUUUUGCAAAGAAAUAUGUUUUUAACCCAAAUUCUUAAAAUUAUAUAUUAAUUUUAUGAAAUGUUGAGCACUAUUUUUGUUAAAUUGGAGGUAUGACAGAUCGUUAACAAUAUAUAUACUUGCCAGUAAAAAGCAGUGUUGUAAAAAAAGGAUGACAUGCACGAACAAUUGACCAUAUGAAUCAGAGAUCAACAGGUCAUAUAUUCACUCAAUUUUAGGAAUCACGGAAUAAUGAUUAAUUAGAACUAAUCAGAUUAUAACACGUUUACAGUCGCUUGUACAAAACAAAGGGUGAAGACCAGAAAACUCAAACACUACUUUAAAAACAAAGCACAAGCACAAAAAGGGGAACUUCUAGUUCUAUGAUUCCCCGUCUCAGCACAAGUCAUACUCCUCGAAGUUUUGCAUACUUUCCCUGUCUGAGUAUCCGAAUCAAUGUCCGAAAACGAAGAGUACGUGGCGAAGACCUUCUUACUUGAUCCACAGCAAGACUCUUGUCUUGCUCGCUUUGCAGACCGCCAUCCGAUCUUGCAAGGAAGCUUUAAACAGCACCAGAAGAUGGACAGAGGGCAACACACGCAGAACAGGCAUGCAUUGCACACGAACUCCGUGACUUUUUGGCCAAUCGUUGCAUGUUUUUUGCACUCAUGACAAGAAGAGAACGAAGAUGAAUUUGAAAGCUUAGAAUUCACCAUAGCUUGUGUUACGGGGAAAGAAUACUUCUACCUUAUCUCUCUUUUUUACUUUACCACCGUCUGUUAUGUAUAGCUUUUUAAGUAUUUGAUCACUUUCUUCAUAAGAUGGAAUGAUUCUUAUCACAUGGUCCUCAAGCACUUAACCCAAUUUGACCAAAAACAUCAACUUUUUUUAUACUAUAACACAGCAGUUUUUAAUAGCACUCCCAAACAUACCNAAAUCCCCGAUUUCUUUUGGCAUCCUGUCUGAUUUUACACAGCUCAAAUCUAGCGUUUUUAGAUAUUUGAAUCUUGUGUAAAUACACUUCAACUCUUCUAAUUUGAAAAAACUCCCAGGUUCAUUUGUUAUUGCCAAUGAUCGCAACUUCAAAUAAUUAGAACUCGAUGCAUGUAAUUUUAAGUACUUACCAAUUCCAUUGUAUAUGGCAUGACGUGGUUGUUCAUUCAACAAGUGUAUGGGGCUUGAAUGAUCUUUACUUGAGUCAAAAAUUAGCAACAACUUCUCCUCUGAGGCCUUUUGUAUGGCAAGAUCACGCACAAGAUCAUGGAUACGGCAGUCCCAAACAUGUCCAUCCCAACGAAAUGUUGCUAUCUGAAUCAUAUUGCGAUUAAUUAACUCAUUUAAAUAGUCCUCAGACACAUCCUCCAUAACUAAUCCAUCUCCUUCAUCAGCUUCUGAUAUAAAUUCCUCUGCAAUCCAUAACAACUUUAAAUUGUUAACUUCAAAAGUAUGGUCUUCUGGAAACCUUGCAAGGUAUAGAAAACAUCGUCUCAGCUGGAAAGACAAGUCAUAAUAACUCAAGCUUAGUAUUUCUUGAAUCUCCACAGAAUCAGCCUUCAAUUUUCUCCAAAGAUGGUCCUUCACCAAUGACCAAUCCUCAUAGCUCUUCUUGUGCAGUAAUAGCCCACUUAGUAUCAUGAUUGCAAGUGGUAACCCUCCACAUUUACAUACCAUCUGCUUUCCUAACUUCUCAAGGUUCGGGGUUGGUUUUGCUCUCUUUAGGAAUAAUUGCCAGCUCUCAUCUUCCCUUAGAAAGCGGAGUGGAUGGACAAAACAUCUGUCAUCUACUUUCUGAGCAAUUAUUUUAUUUCGCGUGGUUAUGAUGACUCUACUACCGUUCUGCUUGUCAGGAAAAGCUUUUUUGAUCUUAAUCCAAGCCUCUAUAUCCCAUAUGUCAUCAAUUACGACCAAGUAACCAUCACAAUCUACCAGUAACUUUCUCAGGUGCUGCAGCAAGUCAAUUUCAUCCAUCUUCAUAAAAUCCAGUUCAUGUCCCAGUACAUGUCUCCCGAAAGACUUUAUCAUCGUCUUCAGAACAUCUUUGAUGUUAUAUUCCUGGGAGACACAGACCCAAGCACGACUCUUAAAAUGGCUCACUUUGCUAGAGUGGUAUAAUUUACUAGCAAGUGUAGUCUUGCCCAAACCCCCCAUGCCAUGAAUGGAAAUCAGUUUAAGCGAGAGAUCCUCACUAACAAGUUCAUCCAACAAAGUCUUGAAAUCAUCCUCAAAACCAACCACAUCCACCUGGUUUUCAAAGGAGGUUGCUCUAAGCAAUGUUCUUUUCCUCCUUUCCACCAUCUGCGUGGCUAAGAUGUUGGUAAUACCAUAUUCAUCUCGCCUGCUCUUGAUCACAACAACCCUUCCCUUGAGCAACUCAAUCUCUUUGCCUAUAUCAUAUAAACUGGCUUCCUUCCUGCACAAGCAGACAGAGCUCACAGAGCUCCACAAACAAUCCAUCAAACCUUCUUUCCGGACUGCAUGUUCUUCUUCGAGGGCACUAAACCUCUCCAGGAUAAUUAAAGCAUCAUUAGCAACGUCUUUGACGUUAUUCAUCCAUUGCCAGAUCGGGGGAUCCAUUUCUUGUCUUGCUUCUGCACCUCUCACCGAAGAUUGUAGGUAACCCAACUCAUCUUUGAGCCACCUUACACCAUCUUCCACUCCUAUCCUUGUGUUGACUCUUUGGGUAAGAAAAACAUUAAGCUUUUCAAUUGCAAAGGAAACAGCUGCAUCAGCCAUUUUUCUCUAUCAACUAGAAACAGCCAAACAGGCAGAAAGUAUUUGAAUGUUCUUGCAAACAGAAAAAACCAAAUGUAGGACAAUACCAAUAUGCAUCAACUAAUCAAAUUUGGUGUUGCAACUUUGCGAAGAAUCUGAGCAUUAUAUACAACUCAAUUAGAUUCAAAUAUAAUCUAAAAAAAUUGUAUUCCUUAACUUCAUUUCAGAUCUUAAAAUAAAAAUGUUGAGUUGUUUUAGACUUUAGUUGCAG
rnacentral:lncRNA from 1 species